AACGAACGCUGGCGGCAUGCCUAACACAUGCAAGUCGAACGAAGGCUUCGGCCUUAGUGGCGCACGGGUGCGUAACGCGUGGGAAUCUGCCCUUGGGUACGGAAUAACAGCGAGAAAUUGCUGCUAAUACCGUAUGAUGUCGAAAGACCAAAGAUUUAUCGCCUGAGGAUGAGCCCGCGUUGGAUUAGGUAGUUGGUGGGGUAAAGGCCUACCAAGCCGACGAUCCAUAGCUGGUCUGAGAGGAUGAUCAGCCACACUGGGACUGAGACACGGCCCAGACUCCUACGGGAGGCAGCAGUGGGGAAUAUUGGACAAUGGGCGAAAGCCUGAUCCAGCAAUGCCGCGUGAGUGAUGAAGGCCUUAGGGUUGUAAAGCUCUUUUACCCGGGAUGAUAAUGACAGUACCGGGAGAAUAAGCCCCGGCUAACUCCGUG
rnacentral:rRNA from 1 species